UACGUAGGUGGCAAGCGUUGUCCGGAAUUAUUGGGCGUAAAGCGCGCGCAGGCGGUCCUUUAAGUCUGAUGUGAAAGCCCACGGCUCAACCGUGGAGGGUCAUUGGAAACUGGAGAACUUGAGUACAGAAGAGGGAAGCGGAAUUCCACGUGUAGCGGUGAAAUGCGUAGAGAUGUGGAGGAACACCAGUGGCGAAGGCGGCUUUCUGGUCUAUAACUGACGCUGAGGCGCGAAAGCGUGGGGAGCAAACAGG
rnacentral:rRNA from 1 species